AGUGAACGCUGGCGGCGUGCUUAACACAUGCAAGUCGAGCGCCCCGCAAGGGGAGCGGCAGACGGGUGAGUAACGCGUGGGAAUCUACCCAUCCCUACGGAAUAGCUCCGGGAAACUGGAAUUAAUACCGUAUACGCCCUACGGGGGAAAGAUUUAUCGGGGAUGGAUGAGCCCGCGUUGGAUUAGCUAGUUGGUGGGGUAAAGGCCUACCAAGGCGACGAUCCAUAGCUGGUCUGAGAGGAUGAUCAGCCACAUUGGGACUGAGACACGGCCCAAACUCCUACGGGAGGCAGCAGUGGGGAAUAUUGGACAAUGGGGGCAACCCUGAUCCAGCCAUGCCGCGUGAGUGAUGAAGGCCUUAGGGUUGUAAAGCUCUUUCACCGGGGAAGAUAAUGACGGUACCCGGAGAAGAAGCCCCGGCUAACUCCGUGCCAGCAGCCGCAGUAA
rnacentral:rRNA from 1 species